AGCAGCCGCGGUAAUUCCAGCUCCAAUAGCGUAUAUUAAAGUUGUUGCAGUUAAAAAGCUCGUAGUUGAAUUUCGGGGUUAGUAGAUCGGUCGUGCCACUGGUAUGUACUGGUCUCACUGAUUCCUCCUUCCUGAUGAACCGUAAUGCCAUUAAUUUGGUGUUGCGGGGAGACUGGACUGUUACUUUGAAAAAUUAGAGUGUUUAAAGCAGGCUAACGCUUGAAUACAUUAGCAUGGAAUAACGGAAUAGGACGUUCGAUCUUAUUUUGUUGGUUUCUAAGAUUGACGUAAUGAUUAAUAGGGAUAGUUGGGGGCAUUAGUAUUCAAUUGUCAGAGGUGAAAUUCUUGGAUUUAUUGAAGACUAACUACUGCGAAAGCAUUUGCCAAGGAUGUUUUCAUUAAUCAAGAACGAAAG
rnacentral:sRNA from 1 species